UCGGGAAUUUUGGGCAAUGGGCGAAAGCCUGACCCAGCAACGCCGCGUGAAGGAUGAAGUAUUUCGGUAUGUAAACUUCGAAAGAAUAGGAAGAAUAAAUGACGGUACUAUUUAUAAGGUCCGGCUAACUACGUGCCAGCAGCCGCGGUAAUACGUAGGGACCAAGCGUUGUUCGGAUUUACUGGGCGUAAAGGGCGCGUAGGCGGCAAUUCAAGUCAUCUGUGAAAUCUCCGGGCUUAACUCGGAACGGUCAGAUGAUACUGCUUUGCUAGAGUGCAGAAGGGGCAAUCGGAAUUCUUGGUGUAGCGGUGAAAUGCGUAGAUAUCAAGAGGAACACCUGAGGUGAAGACGGGUUGCUGGGCUGACACCGACGCUGAGGCGCGAAAGCCAGGGGAGCAAACGGGAUUAGAUACCCUAGUAGUCCCUGAGCGGGCUGGCAAGGCGCAU
rnacentral:rRNA from 1 species